UACGUAGGUGGCAAGCGUUGUCCGGAAUUAUUGGGCGUAAAGCGCGCGCAGGUGGUUUCUUAAGUCUGAUGUGAAAGCCCCCGGCUCAACCGGGGAGGGUCAUUGGAAACUGGGGAACUUGAGUGCAGAAGAGAAGAGUGGAAUUCCACGUGUAGCGGUGAAAUGCGUAGAGAUGUGGAGGAACACCAGUGGCGAAGGCGGCUUUCUGGUCUGUAACUGACGCUGAGGCGCGAAAGCGUGGGGAGCAAACAGG
rnacentral:rRNA from 1 species